rnacentral:sRNA from 1 species
CCGGCCGCUGAAACGGGGCCGGUGAGAAUGGGGUAGCCCGCUAUGACGGGCGUGUCCCUCGUACCUAUGUUGCUCUGAGGAGAAUGUGGUUAUGAGAA